ACAGGUGAAUCCCAAAAUUCUGGUUUUAUCAGUACCAGGAGCGCUGCCCGAAGAGUUUUAUGCUGCAGAAGAAUGGUGCCCCUAUGCCACUGUCUCAACUCCUGACAAGUGAACUCAAGAUUAAAAAAAGAAAUGGGAUUUCUGCAAAAGAAUUAGAGACACCUGAGUUUAAACCUUAAAUAUUGAAUGCUUCUCUCCAAUUUCCCUGGAGAAUAGGCCUUGGAUGAAACAGACAUCAGAGCAUGCCAGAGCAUGCACCUGAGCUGAGUUUCUGGUCGACAGCAAAGGCAUUGGUCUGGAAAUGGUCUCUGGGAAGAUUCACUUAUCUGAUGCCUCUUUGCCCCUCUGCCUCUACCUCCUAUGCUUCUUGUCACCUACGUGUUCUACCACAUGACUUCCACUUUCAUAUCUUUUGUUUAGACAUCCCUGUACUCACCAGCUACACUCUGAAGAACUCAAGUCUAAGUAUCCAAGCGCACUUAAGAAAUGCAAGAGGGGAUUUUUAUUUUAUUUUUAAAACAUACAUUACCUUGUUUCCAGCUCUGUAAAUGGGUGAGUAGAGUAAUGGCCCGUAGAGUAAUCUUUUAGGACUGAUCCAAACCAUAUGAGAACUUAUCUGUUGGCAAAUUCACCAGUUACUGCCCUUUCUGUUUCAGCUUGCAAGUAACAGAACAAAUUCUGGUAUCAAAAAUUUUAUAUCCAUGCUAUUUAAAAGUGAUUUUUCAUUUUCUGAGAUGGACACUUAUAUUAACUACUCAGGGAAAAAUAAUUACUUGUGAUUAUUUUACAGCAGUACAACAACAGCAGAUAAGAAUUUGAGAUGGGAUUUAUUUUUUGGUUAAGGAGGGAGAAAACAGGUAGGAAUUCCACUCUCCUACCACACUUCCUCAGGCAAACUUGGCCAAAAAAAAAAAAAAAAAAAAAAAGCAGCCAGAUUUUGGCCACCAAAAGCUAGCAUUUUGUCCAGAAUGCUCAUCAAAUAUUUAAGUAUCAAGGACAAAAUCAAGAGUUACACUUGGGGACUACAUAUCUAGCCUUCAGAGAACAAGCAUUUUGCUGAAAGCUACAAUUCAGUCUAAACUGAAUUUUAUUUUUCUCCCUACAAAAGCAUCUAUGUUCAGAGAUUGGUAAUAGCAUAGUUUACACUAGAUUUGCUCAGUGCUCUAGUCCUAGCAUUGAGACACCCGCAGUCACUACGUACAUGUAUAAGACUUCAGAUUCUUCACGAUCUGCUAGGCUUCAACUCAGUGGCAGACAAUUAAAUCCUUGUCAGAUUGGCUGAGAAUUUUAGCUCAGAAGGAGGCACUGUACUCCCAAUGUCACCCACAUACUUGUAUCUAUUGCUUUAGACUACUGCCUGUUUACUAUCAGUCCUGAAUUUUGGAUGCAAGAAUAAAAGGGUCUAAAUUAGUGUCAUGUAACACACAAAAGGAAAGCACAAGAGUAUGAAAGAAAAGCAAUCAACAAGGAAGCUGAGAAACAGGAAGCUGAAAGCAGACCAUGUUUUUCAGCUACUAUUUACGUUUUUUUAAUCUUUGUGCAAAUGAUACAAACUUGAAUCCUAAGGCUAGAAAAGAGUACAGCAUGGUAAAAGAGAAAAGAAUUCUCAUUAAUGAGGCCCCGAGGCUUGAAGUUUCUCUCUCAUCCCUGUCUCAAAGAAUGAGGCAGUUGUCAACUGCUGUAUUGGCCCAAGGUUGUAGAACAGAUUUCCAUCCUACUGAAAAUGAGAAUUUCUAUGCUCAUCAGGGGAAAGUUUAGGUGCUGCUGUUGCUGAAGAUCUGCAUUAGUCCUCUUAAAAUAUUUUUGAUAUAAAAAGCUUUUGCUUAGAUGGCCGUGUAUGCUAAAGA